rnacentral:rRNA from 1 species
AGAACGAACGCUGGCGGCAUGCCUAACACAUGCAAGUCGAACGAGCUCUUCGGAGCUAGUGGCGCACGGGUGCGUAACGCGUGGGAAUCUGCCCUUGGGUUCGGGAUAACAGUUGGAAACGACUGCUAAUACCGGAUGAUGACUUCGGUCCAAAGAUUUAUCGCCCAGGGAUGAGCCCGCGUCGGAUUAGCUAGUUGGUGGGGUAAACGGCCCACCAAGGCAACGAUCCGUAGCUGGUCUGAGAGGAUGAUCAGCCACACUGGGACUGAGACACGGCCCAGACCUCCGUACGGG